UACGUAGGGUGCAAGCGUUGUCCGGAAUUAUUGGGCGUAAAGAGCGUGUAGGCGGCCCCAUUAGUCCGCUGUGAAAGUCCAGGGCUCAACCCUGGAAUGCCGGUGGAUACUGUGGGGCUAGAGUCCGGAAGGGGCGAGUGGAAUUCCUGGUGUAGCGGUGAAAAUGCGCAGAUAUCAGGAGGAACACCAAUGGCGAAGGCGCUCGCUGGGACGUGACAGACGCUGAGACGCGAAAGCGUGGGGAGCAAACAGGAUAGAUACCCGACGUAGUCCAAGGAUCCCAAGUCAGUGCCUGCCCGUAAGUACCACCCGACCUGACC
rnacentral:rRNA from 1 species